CAGAGUUUGAUCCUGGCUCAGAUUGAACGCUGGCGGCAGGCCUAACACAUGCAAGUCGAGCGGAAACGACACUAACAAUCCUUCGGGUGCGUUAAUGGGCGUCGAGCGGCGGACGGGUGAGUAAUGCCUAGGAAAUUGCCUUGAUGUGGGGGAUAACCAUUGGAAACGAUGGCUAAUACCGCAUGAUGCCUACGGGCCAAAGAGGGGGACCUUCGGGCCUCUCGCGUCAAGAUAUGCCUAGGUGGGAUUAGCUAGUUGGUGAGGUAAUGGCUCACCAAGGCGACGAUCCCUAGCUGGUCUGAGAGGAUGAUCAGCCACACUGGAAAC
rnacentral:rRNA from 1 species